CUAUUUAGACCUUUUGAUUUAAGUGUUGGAAUAGCUAUUUACACUCGAAUGCGGUAAGUCACAUUUUACAGCGCGACAACUUUGUUUGAGGCACGAGCCUGAAAGGCGAGUGCCUUAUUAGUUGAAGCGCUGUAAAAUGACUUAACGCAUGAGAUUUGUAUAAAACUUUUUGGCCGACAAGCUUUGGUUUGGUUGAAUCAAUGCGUAUAAAACAAUCAAUGCAUAGAUUCAAUGACAUUUGUGGUUCCCAAACGUAUGUAUAGGUGGCGCUGUUCCGGGGGGAUUUAUAUUUUCACUAAUUAAAUAUACACCAUGGUCGAUUGAAUUAAAUAAUUAUAGUUUACAGCAUCGUGUUUAAAGGUCAAGUUACCUUUCAUGAAUGGGCAACUGUCAUUCACGUUUUACAGUACUGGAGGCCAAAAUAGCUAUUUACACUCGAAUGCGGUAAGUCACAUUUUACAGCGCGACAACUUUGUUUGAGGCACGAGCCUGAAAGGCGAGUGCCUUAUUAGUUGAAGCGCUGUAAAAUGACUUAACGCAUGAGAUUUGUAUAAAACUUUUUGGCCGACAAGCUUUUAAUAUUAUUCUUUAUAAAAUAAAUAAAAACUCAAAGUCAAUCAAUGCAUAGAAUCAAUGACAUUUGUGGUUCCCAAACGUAUGUAUAGGUGGCGCUGUUCCGGGGGGAUUUAUAUUUUCACUAAUUAAAUAUACACCAUGGUCGAUUGAAUUAAAUAAUUAUAGGUAACAAGUAUUUCGUUAUACGAACUUAAUUAUGGUAAGCACGGUUUGUAUCUUAAACAUGUCUAAUCGUCCAGUGUUUUGUGGUUACUUUACCUAAUUGUUUGCUACCAGUUUACAGCAUCGUGUUUAAAGGUCAAGUUACCUUUCAUGAAUGGGCAACUGUCAUUCACGUUUUACAGUACUGGAGGCCAAAAAAUAUAUAUUUGUCAAUUAAUGCUACUCAUUUUAUUUUUAAUUUACAUAAGUAAGAAAUUUAUUAAAUGAUUUAUCAGAUGAUCGUUCAGGAUUCUUCUUAGAUUAUAUAAGUGGACUUGAGCGGUUGCUACAAAUA